rnacentral:rRNA from 1 species
GGUUGCGAUCAUACCAGCACUAACGCACCGGAUCCCAUCAGAACUCCGCAGUUAAGCGUGCUUGGUCGAGAGUAGUACUAGGAUGGGUGACCCCCUGGGAAGUCCUCGUGUUGCAACCC